CGCCCUCGUGGUUGUUCCAGUCCCACGUGUUGUGCAGAGAAAGCACGUGCGCCAGAAAGGAGAAUGCUUCGCACGUGCCCAACUUUUGGGUCACGUUUUUAUGCUAUAAUGGGAGGUGGGAUUCGUUUCCCCCUUACUACAGAAGUCUUUUCAUUCCAAUGGGAAAUUGUAUGAACAGUAGAUGUAACUGGAUGAUUAAUCGACUUGUGUAGCUGGAAACCAUCAUUGUCUUUGGAAACAUGUAUCAUGAGUCUGUGGCCCAGCAGAUGCCCGACUGGUUCCAGGACUCGUUUUUCCCUCUUAAGGACAUAAAAAUGACAUUCCAGCCUAUUGGGAGACCAUGUACGCAAUGCAAGGUUCGAGAAUUGGAAACCAAACUCUGAGGAAUCUUGAAUGGACUCGUUGAUGCCCCUUACAAGCAGAUGCACGUGGUCUGUCCUGGAUUGCAGUGUACAGAUGUUCUCCUUCCCCCUCAUUGUUUUUAAUGGUGGGACUGGUCUUCUAUGACAUGGUUGUACAUUUCAAUGAGUUACUGUUUUCUAUUAAAGCUUUUUGAAUUCUUA